AGUAAGGGGGGAGGGGACGGAGAGAGGGAAGGGAGGAGGGAGCAAGGGCCGGGGAGAAGGAGCGGUGACGGACCGCGCGCCCAGGGGGACGGGGAGGCUGCGCUGGGCCCCGGGCAGGGGUAAAGUUUCCUUGUCCUCCCGGGGUUCCAGACGUGCCUGAGUCAGGGAUGGGGACCCCGGGGUCACUGCGUGUGACUGGGGGGUCCCGGAGCGGGUCUGACCUCCCUCCCCACAUCUCCAGCCUGGGCGCCCGCUGCCUGCCUGGAGGGGUGGGGGCGCGUCUAGGGGAUCCGGCGCAAGGAGAGGCGCCCCUAGCACAUCUGGGUUACUCCAUCGCGCCAGCCCGUGUCUGCAGCCUGAAAAUCUCGGGUCUUGUUCUCCCGCUAGCCGUUCAGGACUCUCUCCGCCUGCAGCCCCCGCCUCCCCGGUACCUCCGCCAGGACCCAAGAGGCGUCCAGAGGGGAGCCCAGGCCCCGCGACCGCCUUCUGGAGGAGAGGGCACUGGCUCUGCAGAAACAUCAGACCCGGCCAUCCCUGCAGCCGCGCCCCUGGCCCAGCCUCAGGCUCUGCCGCUGGGACACAGCCCCGGAAAACGGAGACUUCCGUCGUCGGUAAUGGAGGGCAGAGCAGAAGGGGCUGGAGAGGUCCCGAGACCCUCCGCUUUCACGCCCCUCCCUCCAAGGCUGCAGGUCGGGCGACGGAGCUGUCAGUCAGGAGUCCCCUGGAGCAACCCCCACUCCGGUACAGGCCUCUGGAGCCUUACAGCUCCCUUCCUAUCGACUCUCCCAUCUCCUCUGUCCCCACCCCCCACCUUCCUUCUCCUCCCCCCAGCUUCUCUGAGCAGCCACUGCUCCUGCCCACCUGCCUCUCCCCUCUCUGCCCACCUCUCCUACACUCCCGAUUCCAGGCUGAGCUCAUGGCUCCUCAUACACCUGCUCUGGGAUGGGCAGGAGCUCCUCCUCACUGGCCGGAGCUGUCUGUCUGCUCUGUGGGCAGUGCCUGCAAUUAGAGCUUUCAGAAUGCACAGCUGCUGCGCAGUGGCCGGUCCCGCGGCAACACCUGGCCUGCUUCUGUGGCCCUCCCAGUGCUGCUGGCCCAAACGAGCUGGAUGCAGGGACCCCCUGCACUUCCACGGCCCCCUCAAGGUGGGCUCUUAAGAGAUAAUGCAGGUGCAGAGAGGUUAAGCAGCUUGCUGAAGCUCACACAGCAGUACUGGGAUUCCAACCCAAGCCAUCUGGCUUUAGGGUCUGCAUCCCGGCCUCCUGCUGGCCUCAGGUGUAGUUUUGGGCUGAGGUGCCCUUACUGGGACAGAUCCCAGGUCUGCUUUCCUGCAGUCUUUCCUGGAGCCACCGGUCUCCACCACUCACCCUGCUGACGGCUCUCCCUCAGACUACCCUGCAGAUCCAACCCUCAAUGGUUUCAAGGUCCUGUUUCCCUAGGCAGACUGAAGUCCCCCAAGGAAGGAUUCCCUCUCUUCCUCCUCCUCUCCUUGCUCUCCCCAAGCCCCUGGGCAGUGCAAGACCCUGGUCCUUCUGGUCUACAUGAAGCCCCUCCAUGGGCAAGUUCUGUGCCAGGAACUAGAAGGUUCCAAGCUGGAUGGAGAUUUGGGCUGAGCAAGCAGCUGGUAAACACAGGGAGGGGAGAAGAGCAAAGUCCCCCUGAGGCCCCGUGAGGGCAGCCUGCUGACCUCUGACCCACUCACAAAACCCCACCCCCGCUCCCUGCGGCACAGCCCACGAGGCUCCCUGCUCAGGAAGGGGACGGAGAGGUGGCAAGGCUGGUGGCUCCUGCCCAGGAUAGAGCAGCCUGUGCCCUUUGGUUCAGGCCCCACCUUGGUGAGAAACCCCUGCCUGUGGUGUCGCAGAACAAAUGCCAUUGGCAGAGCUGAUUCCACAUUCUUUUGUUGGUGGAGAGGCCAGCCACGCCGCGGUCCCGGCUGGAGUCCCUGUGAAACGGGGUUAUCGUUUCUCUGACUUGGCAGCUGGUCGAAACGGGGCUCAUCUGCUGCUGAUAAAGUGAUGUCCGCCUCGUGGGUUCCACGCCCACACCCUGUGCCCCACCCUCCCGUGGCAAACCAAAGACCCCUUUGGGAAGAGGAUGCCCCUGCUCCUGCGCUUGGGCUCAUGGUUUCGCCCUGGACUUGCUAAAAUUGAGGCCUCCUGCAGAGGUUAUCUGGGGUCAGAGCAGGGGAAGGGGCGUGUGGUGAGCUGGGUGAAUCCCUGAAGGGCAGCCUGAGGGCCACGGGCGUCCACUCAGCUGAGCACAGAGGAGUUUGUUUAACUCCAGAUUCUGGAGCCUCACCCUCAGACAUGGUUCAGUCUGGGGUGAGGCCUCCACAUCUGUGGCUUCCACCAGCCAUUGCUGGGCAACUCUGAUGCAGGCAGCCUCGGGGUGCCCCGAGAAAUGUCGGCUUAGAGCCACUUGACGCAGGGCUGAUGCAGAGGGUCAGUGUCCCCCAUCCCAGCCAGGGCUCAGCCUGAGCCUGGUGUCCUGGCCUGGGGCAGGGGCUGGAAUUUGCCCCGCGUUGGUGCAGGGGAAGAGGCCAUGGGCCUCUCGGCAGGAACCUGGCAGAGGCUGUGAGGUUAAGCCAGCUUUGCCUUUCUGUCUCCUGCUCACUUUUCUAACAAAACAGGCCUAGGCUUCCACAGGGUCCAGCGGUCUCAAGCCUGUGGCUCUCCCUGGUGGAUUCCCGCAGGUGAGUUCACUCUGAGAACUCAGCCAGGGCCAGCAGGCCUGUCUCUCCCGGAGCCAGGGGCCAGGCCAGGUCAGCUGGAUGUCCAAGGCUCUGGCGACACAGCCCUGCGGCCAAGUGCGCACGCUCACACGCAUCUGUCCAACCUCGCCCGCUUCCCCUUUGGAUUUGCUAAUACAGCAAGAUUAAUCGGGUCUAACUCAUUAAUUUGCACAGCCCCUCCCUUCCACCUGUGCCCGCUGGAGAGCGCUGGUUGUGGGAACCCAGUAAUCACCGAGGCUGAAUUAGAUUCCGACUCUGCGUCCUGGCCCUUGCCUCUGCUGCUCCUGAAAUUUCUGCUGCAAGGGAAACAAAAGCUCUGGGUUCAAAGUCCAGUGAGACCAGAUUUGGGGGCACAGUUCUUCCUUGGCCUGAGUCGCCCUAGGGGACUUGCGGGUGGGUUUGGGGACACAGCCAGGUCCUUGCAGACACCAGCCCCCCUACCCCCACCCAUGUCACCACCAACUCCAGGCUGUCACUGGCUACGGUGCAAAGCAGCUGCCCCGGGAGGACGGCUCUGGGGGUGGUUUUUCUCCCUCCCUCACUGCCCUCCACCUGCCCAUGGUGACCAAGGGUUUGUAGUAAAGGUGAGAGCAUUGAGGGGCACCAGCUGAGCCUGAGCUGCACCCGAGGAGAUGGCUGCGGGAGGCAGAAGGCACCACACUGUGGGCUUAGCCCGUGGACGGGGGGCUCUGCCUGUGCUCCCAUCACCCCCGAGGACUCAGGACCUGGGCUCAGGACCAAAACCCUCUGUGGGGCCAAGUCACUUGCACCCCAUGUGUGAGGCCUGAGCACGACACCACGCUUUGCUGGUCACCUGAGUCUGGCCUGCGUCCCUCCCACCCUGUUCCUCUGAGGCGGGAAAACGACGAGGCCACACUAGUGAGCAGCCACGUCGGCCCCCAGGCCACCUGCCCCUUCACAGACAUGAGUAACCCAUAAAUGAGAGUGGCCUCCUGGAGCCUCACCAGAGCCCAGGUGCUCCCGCAGGCUCGGCUCCCUGCCCCCGGCUGUGCUCCCAGCUCCCUGCCCUCCCUACCCUCUCCUGGUGCUCCCUGCCCUCCCUACCCUCUCCUGGUGCUCCCUGCCCUCCCUACCUUCUCCUGGUGCUCUGCCCUGCAGGGAACAGACAGUGCUUUUCCUCCGGCUGAGAGAGGAGCUCUUGGAGCCCUGUCUGUCCAUUUUACUCAGCCCAGGUUUUGAAGACCGUUAAGUGUAGGAGAAACAUGGGAACUGGGCCCAGAUUGCCAAAGGUGCAACGCGUUCUCCUCACGCCCCCUCUUUCCCCACCUGCAGCUGCUUUCAUCCUGGGCCCUGGCUAGAGCUGCGUUUGCUGAAAAGCUGUAGGGCACAGCUGCUGGGGUGAUAGUGGGAGACGGAAAGGUUGGUUGAGAGGCCUGAUUCCUUCCAAACAUCACAACCUGAAAAUCACCAAAGGUUUUCCUUGUUGAGAAGGAGUGAAUGGCAGCACCGGAAGCCAAGGCCCCUCCCCACCAAGACGCCAGCAGCUGAUCCCCACCUUCCCAACCAAAGCCACGAAGCAGAGGCUGAGCCGAGCCAAGGUCAGGGCCUGGGGCCACGGUGGAUUUCCUCCCGUGGGGACGUCCUUAACGUCCGCAGCUCGGGCCUGAGGGUCUGCCACCGGACCCAGCAGCUGCCACAGGUGUCCUGGCUCGCCGGGUGUCUCUGGCUCAGGGCCGGGGCUGUCUGCAACUCCCCUCUCCCCUGAGCCCUCUGAGUGGGGUUCCCCAAGCUCCGAGGGGCUCCCGCCACACCUGGGCUUCCUGGGGGCUCUUUGUAGACAGUGACUGAUCUCCCAUUGGCUCCAGUUUCGUGGCUGUGUUUCUGCCCCUCCCUCCACACUCCCUGCCUCUCUGCUGAGUAGCUAAUUCACUCCAAGCACGCUCCAGAGGAAGCCUCCAGCCUCACAGUGGAACUGCAGCCAUGCAUGAGAAUGAUCCGGCACCCAGGUCUGCCUCCAAGUCCCGCUGAUGGCCCAGAGACCGUGCAGUGGGAAGGUUGGCAGCGAGCUGAGGGUUGGAACUCUGGCUGCGCCCCUGCUGCCAGGGUACCUCAGGCAAGUCAUCUUGUUCUCUGAGCCUUAGUUUCCUCAGCGGUGGGGACGGUUCCAGUCCUGAGUCACUGGGCCGUUGUGAGGAUGGAGAUGAGGUCAUGCAGGCUCCUGGGUCCUCGCUGGAGCCAUCCAGCAGUUAUUCUUCUGCACUCUCAGGGGAGCCCUUGCCAGCAUCUGAGGGUCACGGUUCAGUGGCUUCAGGGUCUGGACAGGGCCGGAGGCCAGGCCCAAUGUGGUGCAGCCAGGGGAGAGGGCAGGCCCUGGGGGCCGUGGGCCAUCAGCUCACAGCCACAUCAGGGGCCAGGAAUCCCACUCAGGGCUCAGCCCCAGGCUCCCCCCAGCACCCCCUCCCAAUCCAGAGGACACUUCCAGCCCUGAGCAGUGGGCUCUGGGCAAGCGUCUGGAGAGGGAGUGCUUCUCGGCUCUUUGUGAGGAAUUUCGUCCUGACAGGUCACUGGCACAGAAAAGCCCUUUGUCCCAGCCAGCUGGCUGCCUGCUAAUGAUGUCCAGCCUGCACCCUUCCAAGGCCACCUCUGAGUCCAGAAAGGAUGGAGCUGGCUCCUGCCUGGGAGGCACAAGGGCCACAGUUUCGCUGGGGUCGGGGUGGGGAGGGUGGGUGGAGGCUCCGAACACCUCUGCACGUUGCCCCGGAGCUGCGGACGGAGCUCAGGUGGCCGCCAAGACUUGCUGUAGAUCCGGUGACCCCUCCAAGGAGAGUGCUGAGUCCUGGAAAAUUCUCUUCCUCCUCCUCCACCUCCCUGUCACCUUGCCCUCUCCUGUGUUCCCCAACCAGGACCCCAGUAGAGAGGAGACCCCUGCCGUUGUGGAUGUGGCUUUCCCCAGUGCCCACGAGACCCCUGGGGCCUGGCCCCUCUGGGCCCAUGGAAGCUCCCAUGAGUUUCUCAUGCACGGUGAGGGCCUCACACCCUGCCCUCUGGCUGCCCCUCCUCCCUAGGGCAUGUACCCAGCGCCCAUCUCAGCCUCCCCAGGCAUAUCAGGGCCCCCACUUUCUGGGGUAUGUGUGAGCCACGGGACCCCGAGUCAGGAGAUCCAUGCCUAAGCCUGAUUCUGCCCCCUCCAGGUUCGGGACCCUGGGCAAGUCCUCCCACCCGUCUUAGCCCAGCCUCCCCACCCAUAAAAUCGGGGCUGCUUGUCCUGGCUCUGAGGCUUUUCGAGCAGGCCUGUCUCUAACUGAGGGAGGGUGCUGCAAACUCCAGAAGGCCCCGUCCCAGGGAACACUGGGGGGAACCGUCAGAGAAGCGACCCCUGGACCAGAGCCCUGAGUGGGCUUUCUUCCCCUCCCCACCCUGCUGAGACCACCCAAACCUUGUUAAGAUCAAAGGUUCCCCGGGGAGCCACACAGCCAUGCUGGACACUCCCUGCCAGACCUUCUAGACCAAUUCCUGGGGACCCACGUCCCACAAACACCAGCUGGAAAAGGCAGCAACAUGGGGUCUCCCUCCCCCUCAGCCAAAGUGAACUGUCAGCAGGUGUCUCCCCGCUGCUGAGAAGGAGCCAAGGGACCAGGAUGGCUGCUGGCUCCUGCAAGUGGAGAGGGUCUCCCUGGGGCCUGAACUGGCUGAGGUCACAGCAGGGACCCCAGAGCCAGGCCUGGGUGAAGGUGCCUUUGGGAGGAGGCGGAGGAGUGUAUCGAUUGGGACCCAGAUGGACAGGUCCCUGUGAGCCGGCACAGGUCCUUGGUGGGUGAGUGCCAGGUUGCCCUCACGGGGACUUUGCACUCUGAGCAGGAGGGACAGCUCAGGUGCCGCCCGCCUUGGGUUUCUGGGCAUAGCUUUGGGGGCAGGGGUCGUUUGCAGCAUGGAGCCCUUGUCAGCUUCCAGCAUGUUCUAGCAUUUGUCAUGCCAGAUGGAUUGUCGCCAGCGUCUGGGGUGACAUUAUUAUUCUGUUACUCCCAUGAUGACAGAGCCAAGGGCUGGGGAGAGGGACCCAGUUCAGCCUGACCGAGCCCAGGGCCCUUCUCCUUCCUCCACCAUCACAGCUUCUUGACACCCCAUUCCCCAAACCCGGGACCCCAAUGCCCGGGGACUCGGGCUGCCCCCGCCUCAGCCCCAGGAGAUGAGCCCUGUCCUCCCCAGCCGUGCCGGAGGGUUCUGUCAACCAGCGCUGCUUCCUUAUCAACAAGGACAUGUCUACAAAUAGCUCAUCACGUCUCCAAUCCAGAAGUGCUGUGUCGUUUCAAAAAUGAGCAGAGCCAAUGCAGCCGCCAGCCCAGCCGCGGCUACCUGGGCAAGGCUGCCGGUUCAUGAAUAUUCACGGCUCCGAUGGCUCCGCGAGCCUCCUCACCAUCCGGAAUUAAACCAACGAGCUUCCCCUCACAGGCUGCACUCACUGACUUUCAGCUCCUCUCCAAAUCGUUCUCUUCCUUGCAGCAGAUGGGGACGUGGGGCGGCCUCCACCCUCCUCUGUGCCUGGGCUGUUGUGGCACCAGCACCUUUGCCCCAGUUCCCCAUCUCUUAGGCGCUUGACACGUGUCUGCCCCGUUCUCAGGGAGGCCUGGACCCUGUCCCAGCCCUGGUGGGGAUAAUUACCCCGAUGUUCGUUUGCAGCGUUUAAUUUGCUUCCUCCGUGCUGGAAGCCCACGUUUGGCGAUGUGUGUGUUAGGAUGGCCACGUGUCCUUCCCCCAUCAGCGACAGGAUCUGGGGAGGCCAGGGAGGCUCCUCAUUACGCUCCCAGCACCAAGCCCAAUCACAGACGUUGCACAUGGAGGCACCAGACCCUGCCUGUGGGGAGAGUGGCUGCCAGCUGGGGCACCCGGACGUCCCUGCGUGCCCUGUGCUGGCACAAGGCAGCUCUUCUGUGCUUCCGUGGUGCCUGCGGUGAGGCUGCCUGGGACGCCCCCUGUAGAUGCUGCCUCCAGGGUCUGCUGCAAGGAACGGGGAGAACGGGCUUGUGGUGCUGGGGCCUUGUGUGAGGUGGGAUGCUGCAGACCGGAAGAGUGGGUGGCCUGGAGCUGCUCUGUCUCCAAGCACUGACCACAGCCCGCCUCUGCGUAGGUCCAGGAGAAGUGGCAGGGCUGGGUGCCACCACCUGUGAGCCCCUGAACCUCCCCAGGCUGCCAGAUCUCACUUCAGAGUGGCCCUGGGCUUCGACGGAGGGGCCUGGGCGUGGCCUCAGGUCAGUUCAGGUGAAGACUCUAUUCCUGGCUCAGGAAAGCCACCAGGACAGGUGAGCCCCGCGGCACCUGGUGCAGUGAGGCUUUGAGUCCCGUGAGAACAAUGACAGGACACCGGGGCUGCCACCGGUCACAGAGACCCUGCGUCGACACCCUCGUUUUGAGGUGCAGAAACCAAAGUUGAGACCUGGCCACGCAGCAGGUCUGCAGGGACCUCAGAGCCCAGGGCCACUGUGCUGUCCCCAGUCCCAUUAAAUGCCCAGGGCCACUGUGCUGUCCCCAGUCUCAUUAAGUGCAGUAAACGUCUUCUGGGCAUGCCACCAGCCCCACAGAAAACCAAAGCAAAGCAGAUUCACAGCUCCCGCAUCCCGGAGCUCAGGCCCAGGAGGGUCUCUGGAAAGGAUGGGGCAACUGGAAUACUGUCCUAGUCCCGUCUCAGCCCCAGGGCACCGCAGGGGUCUCUCUUGCAGGUGUGUGGUUGGUUUUAGAAGAUGCUGAGCCCCUCCCUGCGCACUCGUCCCCACCUGCCUGGCCCUGGCACACCUGGCUGCUUCUCAUUCGGGCCUUGAAUGAAAGGCCCCCUUCCCAAGAGUCCUCCCUGACUCCCCUCUCACAGGAAGGGUCUCUCCUGUUCCCCGCCAUGGAGAGUGUUGGUCAAUUCUCUCUCCCCAGCCAACCGCGGGGCCCAGGAGGGCUGCACCUGCCUUGGCCAUCCCAGACCCACCACCCAGGGCAGACCCUCCACCCAGGGCAGAGCCUCGGGCAUGGUUGAAGGCGGGAAGGGCUGAAGAUGAGGGUGGGUGGUGAGAAAAGGCCUCUGGACGGCAGGGACUUAGACAUGGUUCCAAGUAUGGACGCGGGGAACAGCUGGGGGCCGUGGGCCCCUGCAGGCCUGACAGAGGAACCCACGGGACUGACUUUUCCUACAGAAAAUCCUGUGCAGGGAGAUCAAAUCCCGGCAUCCCAGAGGGAAGCCCUGUGCCGGCCGUGAGCUGCCCACAGCUGCCUGACCCCAGUCUUCUCCAAUGAAGUGGCUCUGAGAGGUUUUGUGGUCAGUAUCAUUUCUGUGUUUGAUUUUAGCGCCUGGUCUGGACGGCAAGCAGGAAGAGCUCAGAGCCUCCUCCAGUGUCUCGGGGUGCAGCCAGGAGGAGCUGCCUCGCCCCUGCCUCUGCCUCUGGCUCCCUGCCUCUGCCUCGCCCCUGCCUCUGCCUCGCCCCUGCCCCACUGCCUGGCUCUCACCUGCAGCCUGAGAGGAGUCCAGGCCUGGGCUCUCGAGUCUCUCUCUGGCCCACGGGAGGGGCACACCCGGGUCCCCCCCAGCACCACUGGAAGAGCCUGUUCAGAGACGCAGGCCAUCGCCCCUGCUCCUGCUGGAACGUGCAACCCAGAGGCCCUACAAGCACCUCAUGCUGCCUCCCUCUUUGUGAUCCCCCAGCCCGGCCCUCAGUUAACUGAGUCCCUGCCUGGUAAACGUGCAGCAACACGGCCACAGCAGGCUCGGCCCAGCCCCGGCGCCUCCCCGGGUUCUGGUGCUCAGGCAGUUUCCUUCACCUACGUAAGCCCCGACUUUCUCAUCUGUAGAGUGGGACGAACGACGCCCAGUGCUCAGCGUGAUAUCAGAAGAGCCCAAGACAGUGGAGGGCUCAGCACAGAAGACCCGUCCAUCCGCAGAAUCGCACCGAGAGCAGCUCCUUCAAGGGAGCCCGGGACGCCCCGGGAAGCCACCCUCAGUGACAGGCCCCAGCCGAGGGCCGAACGGGCCAGGGGCUCGGCCGGGGGAACCCCGGGGCUGAACGGGCCGGGGGCUCGGCCGGGGGAAUCCCGGGGCCGAACGGGCCGGGGGCUUGGCCGGGGAAACCCCAGGGCUGAACGGGCCAGGCUGGACUGAGGGACACUGCCGGGGGCUCGGCCGGGGAGAACCCCAGGGCUGAAGGAGCUGGGGGCUCAGCUGGGGAACUCCAGGGCUGAAUGGGCCAGGCUGGACUGAGGGACACUGCCUGGGGCUCGGCCAGGGAGAACCCCAGGGCUGAACGGGCCAGGGGCUUGGCCAGGGAGAACCCCAGAGCUGAAGGUCAAGGCCACUGCAAGGCCCCGGGCUCAGGGGAGAGUGGGGACACAGGACCCAUCCUCCUCAUCUCAGGCUGGUCCUUUUCCCUCCCAUGUGGGGGCACCAUUGCCAGGCCAAUGCCAGUCACUCUGUGAUGACCAGGUUGGAGAAAAGCUGAGAACCCCAAGUACUGGGCAAAUCCAGAGUCUCGUGUCUUCAAACCAGAGGACGUGAAAAGCUAAGUCAAGAGGUCGGCUUCUUCCACGAGUCCCCACGCUGGGCAUUGCCUGGAAGUGAGGGCCUGAUGGAUUGUCAGGCCAGAUACCUAAGGGGAAGGGAGCGGUCGGGGCAAUGCCCUGGGCAGGGCGCUGGCUUGGGAUGGAGGGAGGAGGGUCUCAGAGUGGCAGGCUUAGGCAGACAGCUCACUCAUCCCCGCCUCCAGCGCCCUCGGCCCCUCCACAUCAAACUUCCGGUUCAUGAACCUCCUCCACGCUGGGAGGUGGAGGCCGGGGAAACCGCUAAUUAAGGUUGCCGCACUUUGGCUUCCGGCUUAGUUAGCUGCAACAGCCCCAGUGCCUGCAGGGGCUCUUUUCUGUCUCCCACAGAGACGCCCAGGAGGCUGAGCCAGGCAGUGCCCAUGGGUGGGUCCUGUGUCUCCUGCGGGCUCCACAGGCAUGGGCGGAGUUCCACCUCCAGCCGGCCUGAUGGGGCAGAGACACUUCCCCUCAAAGAGAUGCACGGUUUUAAUAGGCUCUCUGUGCCCAAGCUGAACUGGCUGGAUGCAACCUCUAGGGAGGAGGUGGGCAGGUGGGAGGCAGUCAGGGCCCCCCCCCACUCCCUGCGUCCCUGGAGACAGUGCCCAGCGUCUCACCAGAGGUGCCAUCUCAGCAGCACGUGACAAAGGCAUAAGGUUACGGCUUCCCUGGCCCCCAGGAUGCGUCCCAGGGUUGGGCAGGGCUCACCCUCACCAGGGUUUAGGACAUACCUGGUGUCCACUCUGGAGUCAGCUGACCUGGCCCAGCCCCGAGGUCUCUCCUCCACCUGUCUGGCUCUAGGACAGUCGCAAGCCGCUGUGUUGGGUGGC